rnacentral:rRNA from 1 species
AGAGUUUGAUCAUGGCUCAGGAUGAACGCUAGCUACAGGCUUAACACAUGCAAGUCGAGGGGCAGCAUUGGGGUAGCAAUACUCAGAUGGCGACCGGCGCACGGGUGAGUAACACGUAUCCAACCUGCCGCUUACUCGGGGAUAGCCUUUCGAAAGAAAGAUUAAUACCCGAUGGUAUAAAGAGUUCGCAUGUUCUCUUUAUUAAAGAAUUUCGGUAAGCGAUGGGGAUGCGUUCCAUUAGAUAGUUGGCGGGGUAACGGCCCACCAAGUCUACGAUGGAUAGGGGUUCUGAGAGGAAGGUCCCCCACAUUGGAACUGAGACACGGUCCAAACUCCUACGGGAGGCAGCAGUGAGGAAUAUUGGUCAAUGGACGAGAGUCUGAACCAGCCAAAAGUAGCGUGAAGGAUGACUGCCCUAUGGGUUGUAAACUUCUUUUAUAAGGGAAUAAAGUGAGGGACGUGUCCCUUUUUGUAUGUACCUUAUGAAUAAGGAUCGGCUAACUCCGUGCCAGCCGCGGC